AUGGCGAAGUGCCUGAGCAGGAGGAGAACGGAGACAUACAAAUAUAAGAAAGAGAAGGGCGCGCCUCCAAGUAGCAACAUUGAAGACUGUCAUGGACUCUUACCGAAAGGUUAUCCCCAUCUGUGCUCUAUAUGUGAUUUGCCAGUUCGUUCUAAUAAGGAGUGGAGUCAGCAUAUCAAUGGAACAAGUCACAGUCACCGAUGCCGGCUUCUUCUUGAAAUCUACCCAGAAUGGAAUCCUGACAGUGAUACAGGACACACAACGGGUGAUUCAUUCAUGUUGCAGCAAUCUACCAACCCAGCACCAGAAAUUCUGGGACCGCCACCUCCCUCAUUUCAUUUUGGAGGACCAGGAGUUGGACCAAGAGGAAAUCUGGGUGCUGGAAAUGGGAACUUACAAGGACCUAGACACAUGUAAAAAGGCAGAGUGAAAACUAGCCGAGUUGUUCACAUCACAGAUUUUCAACAAGGGAAAAACUUGAGAUAUCAGUUGUUACAGCUGGUGGAACCAUUUGGAGUCAUUUCAAAUCAUCUGAUUCUGAAUAAAAUUAAUGAGGCAUUUACUGAAAUGGCAACUACAGAAGAUGCUCAAGCUGCAGUUGAUUAUUAUACAACCAUGCCAGCAUUAGGAUUUGGCAAGCGAGUGAGGGUUCAUUUGUCCCAGAAAUAUAAAAGAAUAAAGAAGCCCGAAGGGAAACCGAUCAGAAGUUUCAUCAAAAGCAAGAGCUUGGACGUGUGAUACAUCUCAGCAAUUUACUCCAUUCUGGCUAUUCUGACUGUGCUGUCCUCAGGCUUGCUGAAAAUAAAGAAUGAUAUAUUGAUGAGAAUGAAAAGCCAGGCCUUUAUUGAGAUGGAGACAAGAGAAGAUGCAAUGGCGAUGGUUGACCACUGUUUGAAAAAAGCCCUUUGGUUUCAGGGGAGAUGUGUGAAGGUUGACCUAUCUGAGAAAUAUAAAAAACUGGUACUGAGGAUUCCUAACAGAGGCAUUGACUUACUGAAAAAAGAUAAAUCCUGUCAAAGAUCUUAUUCUCCAGAUGACAAAGAAUCUCCAAGUGAUAAGAAAUCCAAAACUGAUGGUUCCCAGAAGACUGAAAGUUCAACCGAAGAUCAAUAACAAGAAGAGAAGUCAGGUGAAGAUGGUGAGAAAGAUACAAAGGAUGACCAGACAGAGCAUGAACCCAAUAUGCUUCUUGAAUCUGAAGAUGAACUACUUGUAGAUGAAGAAGCAGCAGCAGCACUGCUAGAAAGUGGCAGUUCAGUGGGGGAUGAAACUGAUCUUGCUAAUUUAGGGGAUGUGACUUCUGAUGGGAAAAAGGGACCUUCAGAAAAAGCUGGGGCAAAAGAUGCAAGUGCUUCAGCAACAGCAAAGAAAAAACUUAAGAAGGUGGACAAGAUCGAGGAACUCAAUCCAGAAAAUGAAGGAGCACUGGAAAAUGGAAUUAAAAAUGAGGAAAAUGCAGAACCAGGUGCUGAAUCUGCUGAGAAGACUGAUGAUCCCAACAAAGAUACAAGUGAAAAUGUAGAUGUCCAAAGUGAUAAGAACAAGGAAGACUAUACAAUCCCAGAUGAGUAUAGAAUUGGACCAUAUCAACCCAAUGUUCCUGUUGGUAUAGACUGUGUGAUACCUAAAACAGGUUUUUACUGUAAGCUGUGAUCACUCUUUUAUACAAAUGAAGAAGUUGCAAAGAAUAUUCAUUAUAGCAGCCUUCCUCAUUAUCAGAAAUUAAGGAAAUUUCUGAAUAAAUUGGCGGAAGAAUGCAGACAGAAGAAGGAAAUUUAA